rnacentral:misc_RNA from 1 species
AACGCGAAUGGCACUGUUACGUAAGUAGCAGUAUGUCUGUUUGAGAAUCGCAAAACAAGAUCAACUCUAGUUGAGAGUUGGGAGUGGUUUUAUACUGCGUUAUGCUAGUAUUUAACCUGAAUUGAUCGAGUUGAUGAGCUUCCCAGCGCGGCUCAAUGUGUGCUAGCGAGACAGUCGUCCCGAUGUCACAUUUCCGCUGCGUUGCAGAGUUCUGACCACAGCUCGCUAAACCAUUUAUCGAAUACGAUCUCAAAUCAGGCAAGAUUACCCGCUGAACUUAA